UCAAAAUGUCAAAAAUGAUUGUUUUGAAUUCAAAACCCGGUAUUUCUACAAAACACAGGAAACACACCCAUUCCUGUUUCUCCCAUCUCUCUAACUCUCUCGCGUAUCCUCUCUCUCACACCCAUUACCACCACUUGUUCUGGACGAAAUUGGGUUGGAUCCGUUGCUGGGCAAGGUGCAGCAGAGACCGACGAUGUCGACCCACGUAGUCCGCCACCAUGGGUUGACGUGACAGCAUCAGAAUUUGAAGAAAUCAAACCGGGUCAAUUGGGGAUCGCGAAUGGUGAUUUUUCUGGAAUCAAUUCAGAUAGAUUAAGUGUUGUUUGGACUGAAUUGAGGCUCUGGUCAGAGUCGCCUGGUCGCCUGGACAUGGGCCGCGACCAAGUUGCUGGCCGGAGGGUGGAAUUCAGACAGCUUUCUGCAACAGCUUAUUAUUACCUGAGCUUCUUGAUUUUGGGAACUUAUCAACUACAAUACACCCAAACGAAAGUACUUUUGCAGCUAAGGGAGCAAUUGGAAUACCCAAAACAGUUAGAUUUACGGCUUAAUACUAGCACAGACUUCUAUUAGUUGUCAACUACUCAGGUGGACAUAACUUGUGAAGACAAUUUGGUUCCCGGGAUCAUAAUCUUUGGUGAAACAAAAAGGGGUUGGUAAUUUUAAUGCAUUUCGAGUGUCGAAUCAAACUUUGUCGCAAAAUUUCUCCAUGGAUUCUCUUGUAACCACCUUGUUUAGGCUAAAUGGAUUGAAGUCUCUUAGUAUGGUAUCUUUAGGCGUUAAUCCAAAUUCGGGUGUGUAAAUUCAAGUUGAUGAUCAUAUGGUUAUUUUUUGUCUAUCUCGGAUGAAGGUUGCUACGAGCUUGGUGUCUCUGUAAUAAGUAAUGUGAGUUUGGAUAUUAAGGUAUAUGAAUUGAGAUGGUUAGCAGCUAUAUUUGGUUUAGUCUGGAGAGAUUACUCACCUUUGUAGAGGUAAUUGAGAUGGUUAUCAACAGGCUUUAUUAUUUAUGAAUGAUUCGCGAGUAUACGUUGA